rnacentral:snRNA from 1 species
GUGCUCACUUUAGCAGCACAGAUACUGAAACUGGAAUGACACAGAAAAGAUUAACAUGGCCCCUGUGCUAGGGUAACAUGCAAAUUUAUGAAGUGUUCCAAACAAAA